UGGUCUGCCCCUUUCUGUGCUGUGUGGCCCUGGGGAGGUUACUCAACCAUUCUGAAUAGCCAUUUCCUCAUCUCUAAGUGAGGCUGAGGGAGCACAGAUUCCUAGGGUCAUCGUGGGGACUGACGAGCCAAUGUGCAUGAAAUGCUCGUGCCGUGCGUGGCGCAUGGUACGUGCUCUGUGGACAAGAGCUGCUGUCAUUCUAAAUUUGCUCACACCACUUUUCUUUUCAAACCAUGGGAGGGAAAACCAAACAAGUCCAUUAAAACAUGGGCAAAGAACUUGAAUAGAUAUUUCUUCAAGGAAGGUACACACAUGACCACUAAGCAUGAAAAAGAUGUCCGGAGUCAUGAAUCAUCAUGGAGGCGCAGACCCAAACCACAGGUGAAGAGUUCUGAAGAUGGGGUGUGGUGAUGUUUGCACACGAACGUAUCUGCAAUAAUACCACCGAACUGUACCCUUGAAAAUGACUUGGCUUCCUAAAACAGUUCAUCCACGCUGUUACUUCUCGGUUCAAGAUCUUCAAGGAUAAUAUUAACCACCAGCAUCAAACAGCAAGCACGCCUUGUUCUUGCCUCAUGCCUGGCGCUGUUCUAAGCAUUUUCCCUACGUGGACUCUUCAGAUCCUCCACAAUCUAUGAGGCAGGGAGAUACUUGAGACACGGAAAGUAGGAAGAAGAUUCCCACUGCUAGCAAAAGCGACUGGAACAACGUGAGCAAGACUGACCCGAGCAGCCACUGCUCUCAGGGGAGCCGCCACGAGCACUCCGCAUUCCGCACUGCGCGUGCUAACCCUGGUGGUGACCCGUUACUCUGUG